GCUGGGUAUGGUGGCACAUGCCUAUAAUCCCAGCAGCUUGGAAGGUGAGGCAGGAGGAUUGCCAGUUCAAAACCAGCCUCAGCAACUUAGCGAGACCCUGUCUUUA
rnacentral:sRNA from 1 species